UACGUAGGGUGCGAGCGUUAAUCGGAAUUACUGGGCGUAAAGCGUGCGCAGGCGGUUCGUGAUGUCUGAUGUGAAAGCCCCCGGCUCAACUGGGGAGGGUCACGCGAUACUGAUCGACUCGAAGGCAGGAGAGGGUAGUGGAAUUCCCGGUGUAGUGGUGAAAUGCGUAGAUAUCAGGAGGAACACCGGUGGCGAAGGCGGGUCUCUGGGCCGAUACUGACGCUGGAGGAGCGAAAGCCGUGGGGAGCAAACAGG
rnacentral:rRNA from 1 species